CCUACGGGAGGCUGCAGUGGGGAAUAUUGGACAAUGGGGGGAACCCUGAUCCAGCCAUGCCGCGUGUGUGAAGAAGGCCCUCGGGUUGUAAAGCACUGUCAGUGAGGAAGAACGCCUGGUGGUUAAUACCCAUCAGGAAAGACAUCACUCACAGAAGAAGCACCGGCUAACUCCGUGCCAGCAGCCGCGGUAAUACGGAGGGUGCGAGCGUUAAUCGGAAUUACUGGGCGUAAAGCGCGCGUAGGUGGCUUGAUAAGCCGGUUGUGAAAGCCCCGGGCUCAACCUGGGAACGGCAUCCGGAACUGUCAAGCUAGAGUGCAGGAGAGGAAGGUAGAAUUCCCGGUGUAGCGGUGAAAUGCGUAGAGAUCGGGAGGAAUACCAGUGGCGAAGGCGGCCUUCUGGACUGACACUGACACUGAGGUGCGAAAGCGUGGGUAGCAAACAGGAUUAGAUACCCCGGUAGUC
rnacentral:rRNA from 1 species